rnacentral:lncRNA from 1 species
ACCAUGAUCUCAAACAUCAGCCCAGAGAGAGGGCCCUUUCUCCUUCCAAAUAUUCUUUAAAAAGGCCACACUGAUGUUCUCAGAGGCAAGGCUCAGGAUCCCUGUUAGGAACAAUCUUCAUUUUCAGCUCCUCUAGUUUCCCGGAGGAAGACUUUUCUUGUAAAACUUACGGUAUCCUUUACCUCUCACUGGCUCCUCCCUGAGCAAGGAAGAAGGACUCGAUCAUAUUAAGGGAUAGGAGAGGAGGAACUGGGCAUGCCUGUUUCUGCUCCUUCCAGUCAUCUUGGAAGUGCGCACUUCUAAGGAUGUGCAAACCGAAGCCUGCUCCCCUGUGUUGUACCAGGUAUCGUCUCUUACCCGAAGGCUCUGAAUGGGGAAGUCUAGCCGUCUAUCCAGUGCUGCCAGUGACUGCGUGGGGUUAGUCUGCUCAUUUCUGCAGUUCACAAUUAGGAAGUCCAUUACUGCCCCAUACCUCUACUGGAGCUUUCAAUAGUAGUAAAGGUCAAAGGUCUGUUAGCACAGGUGCCAUCACUAGAAUUUCCAGCACACCAGCACCAACCCAGGGACCAUGUUCUCAUCAAAGGGUGGAAGGAAGGGAAACUUGAGCCCACCUGAGUAGGCCCCUAUCUUGUGCUCUUAACCACUGAGAUUGCCGUCUGCACAGCUGAGAAAUGAUGGACCCACCAUACUUCAGUCAAGGAAUCAUCUUCCUCAUCAGAAUCAUGGGUUACUAUACCAGGAUCGAGUCCUACCAAGUUAAAAUUAAA